rnacentral:rRNA from 1 species
AUUGAACGCUGGCGGAAUGCUUUACACAUGCAAGUCGAACGGUAGAGGGGGCAACCCCUUGAGAGUGGCGAACGGGUGAGUAAUAUAUCGGAACGUGCCCAGUCGUGGGGAUAACGUAGCGAAAGUUACGCUAAUACCGCAUACGAUCUAAGGAUGAAAGCGGGGGACUCGCAAGAGCCUCGCGCGAUUGGAGCGGCCGAUAUCAGAUUAGGUAGUUGGUGGGGUAAAGGCUCACCAAGCCAACGAUCUGUAGCUGGUCUGAGAGGACGACCAGCCACACUGGAACUGAGACACGGUCCAGACUCCUACGGGAGGCAGCAGUGGGGAAUUUUGGACAAUGGACGCAAGUCUGAUCCAGCCAUUCCGCGUGCAGGAUGAAGGCCCUCGGGUUGUAAACUGCUUUUGUACGGAACGAAAAGGUUUCUAUUAAUACUAGGAGCUCAUGACGGUACCGUAAGAAUAAGCACCGGCUAACUACGUG